rnacentral:tRNA from 1 species
UGUCCUAUGGUGUAGUGGUAACACAAGAGGUUUUGAUCCUCUUGUCCUCAGUUCGAUUCUGGGUAGGAUAAC